AUUCGGGCGCCCUAAACAUGCAGUUCGAGCGGUAACAGAGAGAAGCUUGCUUCUCUGCUGACGAGCGGUGAACGGAAAACUCCGACUUGGGAAUUUGCCUUUAGGCGGGGGACAACCACGGGAAACUGUGGCUAAUACCGCAUAAUGUCUACGGACCAAAGUGGGGGACCUUCGGGCCUCACACCUAAAGAUGAGCCCAAGCGGGAUUAGCUAGUUGGUGGGGUAAAGGCUCACCAAGGCGACAAUCCCUAGCUGUUCUGAGAGGAUGAUCAGCCCCCCUGGGACUGAGACACGGCCCAGACUCUUACGGGAGGCAGCCGUGGGGAAUAUUGCACAAUGGGGGAAACCCUGAUGCAGCCAUGCCGCGUGUGUGAAGAAGGCCUUCGGUUUGUAAAGCACUUUCCGCGACAAGGAAGGGUGUUGUCUUAAUAGCGCAGCACAU
rnacentral:rRNA from 1 species